CAAUAGCGUAUAUUAAAGUUGUUGCAGUUAAAAAGCUCGUAGUUGGAUUUCGGGGCAGCCUGGCUGGUCCGCCGCAAGGCGAGUACUGGUCAGCCGCCCUUCCUCUCGAAAGCCCCGACUGCUCUUUAUUGCAGUGGUCGGGUAGUUCGGGACGUUUACUUUGAAAAAAUUAGAGUGUUCAAGGCAGGCCUACGCCUGAAUACAUUAGCAUGGAAUAAUGGAAGAGGACCUCGGUCCUAUUUUGUUGGUUUCCAGGACCGAAGUAAUGAUUAAGAGGGACAGUUGGGGGCAUUCGUAUUUAAUUGUCAGAGGUGAAAUUCUCGGGUUUAUGAAAGACGAACAACUGCGAAAGCAUUUGCCAAGGAUGUUUUCAUUAA
rnacentral:rRNA from 1 species